rnacentral:misc_RNA from 1 species
GUGGGAGGGGGCUUGCUCCCGAUAGGCGGUUGCCAGUCAGUUAUUGUUAGCUGACCCACCGCUAUCGGGAGCAAGCCCCCUCCCAC